rnacentral:sRNA from 1 species
GUGGAGCCAAAGAAUAUCACUCAGCUACCCCCUCAAUUAAUAUAGCACUAAUAAUGCGAGUGGUGUUAAAGCAAUAGAGUGGUGCGUGAGAGUAUAUUUAGCUGCCUAUUAGAAUAUUAUUACAACAAAACCCAGCACUGUGUGUCACGGCUCCCCAUCUCUCAUCUCUCUCUCUCUCUCUAUCUCUCAUCCCCCAUCCUCACUACCAAACAAAUUAAAGAUGCAAAACUAAAAUCCACCUACACACAAACGCAGCAUCUUAAAACCUCACAGAAGUAAGAAAAACAAGAUCAGGUUCUCAAGAUAUCAAAUCUCCAUUUGUAUUCGCAUUCGAUCCACUCCUACUCAGAAGAAAAAAAAACACUGAAAAAGCUUUACAAUGAGGAACCCAUCGUCUUCGUCGAAAGCAGCGGCAGCAGCAAGUGCUAAG